rnacentral:rRNA from 1 species
CAACUAACAAGGAUUCCCUCAGUAAUGGCGAAUGAAGAGGGAAAAGCCCAGCACCGAAGCCUGUGGCUGUUUGGUCACUAGGCAAUGUGGUGUUCAGGUCGUUCCGCGGAGGUACCGCUCCACCCCAAGUCCAUCAAUGAGUACGGCUUUGUUGCUAUGGCCCACAGAGGGUGAAAGGCCCGUGGGGGUGGAGACUCGAUAGGACGGUAUCUCUCUGGUCAGACCUUGGAGUCGGGUUGUUUGUGAAUGCAGCCCAAAGUGGGUGGUAAACUCCAUCCAAGGCUAAAUACUUACACGAGUCCGAUAGCGAACAAGUACCGUGAGGGAAAGUUGAAAAGUACUUUGAAGAGAGAGUAAACAGUACGUGAAACCGCUCAGAGGUAAACGGGUGGAGUUGAACUGCAAGCUCCGGGGAUUCAGCUGAUGAGUGUGGUCUGAGCUUGGUCAGAUUGUUCGAGCUCCGAGGUCUGCUUAGUUGCAGGUCCCUGUCUCUGAUGGGGAUGUGCGAUGCACUUGUCAUGUGCUGUGCGCCUCGGGGUUUUUCGGACCUACUCGUCGGUGCACUUCCCCAGAGUGGUCACCACGACCGACAUCGCCGUCAGGCUGUUGUGGUUAAACCGGUUAUGCAUCGUCCUUGUGGCUUUGUAUGAUCGGGACGGCAGGUAGCUCGUUGGCUUGCUUGUGGCUUGCUGCAGGCGUUUGGUCUUCGGGUGUAAUCAGCUGACUACGACGGUUCUGUGCGGUAUGUUGGAGACGGCGGCUUGUGGUGUGUGCGUGCGUGCCGAUCUCGUUGGCUUGUCCGUGUCUGAUUAUCAUGUUGCCUGUUCAAAGCAGGUCUGUUGGUGGCUCGGGCUUGUCCAGUGGGUGGUGGCGUGCGUGUCGCCUAUCAGGGCCUAAAGUCUGUGGUGUAGUGGUAGACUAUCCACCUGACCCGUCUUGAAACACGGACCAAGGAGAGUAACAUGUGCGCGAGUCAUUGGGCGUAACGAAACCCACAGGCGCAGUGAAAGUGAAGGCUUGGCUUGUCCAGGCUGCGGUGAGAUCCUGCCGUUUCCCAUGCGAGGUACCACCAAGCAUCGAGCGGUAGGCGCAUCACCGGCCCGUCUCAUGACGUCGUCAUUUGUCCUUGUGGCGAGUGUGUCGUCGGGGCGGAGCAUGAGCGUACAUGUUGAGACCCGAAAGAUGGUGAACUAUGCUUGCGCAGGUUGAAGCCAGAGGAAACUCUGGUGGAGGACCGCAGCGAUUCUGACGUGCAAAUCGAUCGUCAAACGUGAGUAUAGGGGCGAAA